UCAGGUGAACGUGAUGUGAAGGUGCUUCAUGUGAACGUGAUGUGAAGGUGCUUCAGGUGAACGUGAUGUGAAGGUGCUUCAGGUGAACGUGAUGUGAAGGUGCUUCAGGUGAACGUGAUGUGAAGGUUCUUUAGGUGAAGGUGAUGUGAAGGUUCUUUAGGUGAAGGUGAACAUGAUGUGAAGGUUCUUUAGGUGAACGUGUUGUGAAGGUUCUUUAGGUGAACGUGAUGUGAAGGUGCUUUAGGUGUGAACGUGAUGUGAAGGUGCUUCAGGUGAACGUGAUGUGAAGGUGCUUCAGGUGAACGUGAUGUGAAGGUUCUUUAGGUGAAGGUAAACGUGAUGUGAAGGUUCUUUAGGUGAAGGUGAACAUGAUGUGAAGGUUCUUCAGGUCUUUAGUGAAAACACGUGUAAUUUGUAUAUUUGGUAAUCAUGUAGGAUUUUUUAUUAAUAAUCAUUUACAGCUUUACACGCAUCAUUCAGAUCUUAUCUCUACCAGUACGCACUGUGUAAUGUCUAAACCUCACCCCCAAAGCUAUAAACCCCGCCUCUACACCCUGAGUCCAGUCUCCACUGCUGUAGGCCACGUCCUCAUACCGCACCCCCUCAUCUCUAAGCCCCACCCACACCGCAGCAAGCCCACGCUAACCCAUUAAAAUCUUUAUUUGGUCCGGUGGAACCUGAGAUUAUACACACACACACACAAAUUAAGAACAGAGAGGAAGUGUGUGUGUGUGUGUGACUAUAUAGAACCUGUUUGCGUGUUCACCAUGUAUGUGUGUAUGAGGUAGGAUGGGAGUGUGUGAAUUUAUCACAUCAAGGUUCACAUGAAGGAUUGUGUGUGUGUGUGUGUGUGUGUGUGUGUGUGUGUGUGUGUGUGUGUGUGUGUGUGCCAGCAGAGGGCGCUGCUGAACUGACUACUAAAACACUGCAAAAGGACAGAUAAAAAGAAACCAUGGCAACACCUAUCUGACCAAUCAGAGCUCUCCGUUCCCUUACAUCAUUUUGUGCUUUUCUCACCAUGAGAGUUCUAUCGCACACACACACACACACACACACACACACACACACACACAGCCAUGUUGACUUCCCCUGAAUGACAUUUGUGUGUGUGUGUGUGUGUUCUCACACUCUGAUCCACGUGAGUUUAUAUUCUAGUGUAAACUGGCUAGCACGCUAGUGCGUUACAGCUAAUAAAGUAAUGAAGCUAACCUGAUUGAAAACCCACUCUGCUGUGUGACGUCACAGUCGCAUGCUAAUAAGCUAGCGUCAGCACAUUCUCUAAACACCCAGCAGUGUGUUUCUUUAAAAACAGCUACACACUCUAUUAUCACCUAGCAUUAGCUAACUAGCCAUCCUAGCAGAGGGGACGUCAUCAAGGGCAAGUGAAUGGAACACAGCCGAAGCAUCUACAUGCUAGUGUUGUGUCAUAUUCAUCAUUCACUUCACUUCAAGUAUUUCUCCUAAUGGCUCCCUGAUUGACUGUGGCAAAUUAAGCCCCACCCAUAUAAAUAUAUGCUAAUGAGAGCACAUGACACAAAAGAAAAAAGGAAAACAUUUAAUUGGGAAUUUCAACAGAAAUAAAAACGAAAGAGACGCUCGCAUUUCCUGCAGGUUUGGCUCGAAGUCUCACUCACACACACACACACACACACACACACACACACACACACACACAGUGUGUAU